GAUUGUUGGGGUGAGGAGACCCCCAUGCGGCUCACAGAAGAGCUUGUGGAUGUACAAGGAAGCCGAGACUUCAUGAGAAGGACUGAAAUGAGGCAGAGUCCUGUUGAAGAUUUAUGACCCCGAGAGGGAUGAGGCUUACGCCGGAGUGAGAACGGCUCGGGGUUAAAGGAAUGCAACAAAUUAAGAUCAAGAUUUCCAGAGGUAACCACUACUACUUUAGUCUCUUAGGUGGUUGGUCAGAGACCUUUAAAACCCAAUUUUGAAGAGAGUCACAUGCCCACAAUUCCAGAUGAAUAUGAAAGAAUCUGAAGAAUUCAAAGCAUAGACCACAAGAUCAUCACUAAGCAGUCUCACAAGUCUAGACUGGACUGGAACAUCCACCUUGUUCAAAUAAAGAAGGAAGAAACUGUCAGUCAGCC